CCGAGACAUACGCAGCGUUUCGGGCCCUUGGAUUCGGGUAUGCUGCCUCCACCUUGAGUGCCACCUUCAUCAAUGGUGUCCUUGGCCCCCAGACCAGACCGUUUCGCUGGAGAUUUUGCUUGAGAGCCACUUGGAUUCACGCAGCAUCAGGAGGAGCUCAAACACGACCACCAAGAGGCACCACCGUAGCAGCAGGUAGCACGUCCAUAUCCACCUCCCUCUCCCUCUGCUCCCAAUCCUUUUUAUUAGAAUAUACUGUCUACAUUCUGAACCCCCUAAUGUGACACAAGUAUAUGCACAUGCUAUGGUUUAAGUGUUGCUUGUGUAUGGUAAAUAGGUUGAGCACCCACCGCUAUUUGAUGCUAUUUUGUUUAGGAUUCUGUUCCUCUAUGCAUGUAAUCUCCAUACCAUGCUCAAGCAUACACACACGGUUGAUUUGCAUGGAACGAUUACUACUAACUAAAGAAGGAAGCAGACUUCUUCACAUAAAGGAAGAUGUCUGUUUUAGUAAUAUAAACAAAUAAAAAAAGAUUGUUUGCAUACAAUUAGAUCAUUCUCACUUAUUA